AUUGAACGCUGGCGGCAUGCCUUACACAUGCAAGUCGAACGGUAACGCGGGGGCAACCCUGGCGACGAGUGGCGAACGGGUGAGUAACACAUCGGAACGUGUCCUGUUGUGGGGGAUAACCCAUCGAAAGGUGAGCUAAUACCGCAUGAUCUGGAGACAGCAAAGCAGGGGACCGAAACGGCCUUGCGCGAUUGGAGCGGCCGAUGUCCGAUUAGCUAGUUGGUGGGGUAAAGGCCCACCAAGGCAACGAUCGGUAGCUGGUCUGAGAGGAUGACCAGCCGCACUGGGACUGAGACACGGCCCAGACUCCUACGGGAGGCAGCAGUGGGGAAUAUUGGACAAUGGGCGCAAGCCUGAUCCAGCCAUGCCGCGUGAGUGAUGAAGG
rnacentral:rRNA from 1 species